AGUGAACUUUGAAAUUUUUCUUUGAGGCUCCUGGUGUGUGUAGGUGGUGAUAACAAAGAAAACCAAAAAAGGUCUUAGAAGAUUAAAAAGGCUUUAAUAUGUCGAAUUGGUUGCCUUGAGUAGCCAGUGUUAACAUGCAAAGCCGGGUGGGGAUUCCAAUGAUAUGUCGGCUGAGGUUGUCAAGAAUUCUUGGAAAAAAGAGCAAAGGAAUCAGUCGUGAUUAGCAAAGGGGAGGUAAAAAUUGCAUCUGUAGGCUCUUCUUAGAUGUGGUUUAAUGCUGAUGACUCAAAUGGUUUCCCUGAAUUAGGGAAGAAUUACAACUAUAUAAUAAUUGCUCAACUCUUGCUAUAUGGAUACCGUGUAACCAUGACAACUUUCUCUUUCUUUUU